GCCAGGCAUGGUGGCUCAUGCCUGUAAUCCCAGCAUUUUGGGAGGCUGAGGCAGGUGGAUCACUUGAGGUCAGGAGUUCAUGACCAGCCUGGCCAACAUGGUGAAACCCUGUCUCUA
ensembl:misc_RNA Metazoa_SRP Metazoan signal recognition particle RNA